UUUGCAUAGUGUGUCCUCACUUCUGCAUGCUUUGAACUUGCCCUUGGGCUGGGUUAGGCUGUUGGCUGAAGCUUGAGCUGGACAGUGCCUGCACCAGGUGGUUUGGGUGCUCUUCAUAAUGCUGCAGAAGGGAGCAGAGCCCAGCAAGGCAGUGCUGUCCGUGUGCUGCUGGCUGCUUGUGUGCGUGGGUGGCACACCUGGUGCCUCAAGUCAAAGCACACCUGCACAAUUCCCUUUCUCCUGCUGCUAUCCAAAGGAAACUCCUGCCCAGCGGUGACCAGAGCUCUCCAUUUCCAUACAGCAAUGCAGGGACUGGACCAGGGUGCUGAGCAGGAUGGUCAUCAUCCAGAAGUGCGAUUUCCCCGAACCUUGAGAGGCUCAGAGGUGAUGACUUCAGCUCAGAAAAGAGGUGUGCACACAGCAGAAACUGAUGGUUGGACCAAGAAGAAUAAUGCUUCAAAAGCUGACCUACUGCUGCCGGGGUGUUUUCACGCUGCCCCAGCCAAACAGAAUAACAGUCUGAGUCUGCCCUGCUCAUCAGAGCGUUGUGUGCUUUAAAGCACCCUAAAGAUGUUUCCAAAAAAGAACUUGGAAAGUAGAAGAAAAUUCUCAGUGCAGCACCAGGCAUCCCAGACUCUUCAGGAGAUUUAGGGUGAGGGCUGCAGAGCUUUCCUUAGGAGACAAGAGAGAGUAAUUUGCUCAGACUCACUAAAUGAGAGCUGCAAGGGAGCGAUUGCUUCCUAUAAAUAUUUUCAAGUGGCAAAGGGCGCUGCUGACAGAGCUAUGGGAUGUAGGUUGGUGACGAAUAAAUUUAGGCUGGAAAUUUGGGAGACUCCUAAACACCAGAGCAGUCAUGCUCUGGAAGAGUUUUGUGACGGGUACAAGGAGUCAAGAGUCAGAUGUCCUAAGACAGAUCGAUGCCCUGAAAAGGGCCCUGUAACAAAGUAUUCCCCUUUGGGAUAUAGGGUGGCUCUACUCGGUGGUCCAAAUGAUCCCCACUGAGAGCUUUACAUUUUGUUGAAGCUGUCUCGUUUGCCCUUGAAGUGUGUUGUGCACACCUGGGAAGCUUUGACCCUACUGCCAUUAGCCCCCUGAGCAGGCUGCUGUGCCCUCCAGCAAUACAGGUAACUCCAGACUCCUCCUGAACUGUGGUAGGGAAUAGGAUUAUUUUUGAGGCGGAGCAGUCAUUCCUAAGGGUGGCAGCAAGCCUCAUCUGGGCCAUCCAUGCUCCUUCAGGUGUGGCGUAGAGGCAGAACGUUUGCAAGUCUGCAACAGAUCUCUGCCACGUCUCCAGCCCUGUUGUGGUUCUGUCCCUGUGUUGCCUGUGCUCUCUGUGGCUUUGCAUGGGGUGGGUGACAGAAGCGCCAUAGGAGGUCCAGAUCCCUGUCUGGACAUGUGCAUAUUCUCCAUUUUCUGGACUGAAGUCACCAGUGUCCUGUUCUUCCAAGCUUUGAGCAGCACUUCUGCAUCUUCACAGCCUCUGCUGCUGCCCCACAGCCCUGCCCGGUGCUGCUGAUGCCGUUCUGCCUCCUAACAGCUCCCGGAGUCUCCGGCACUUGCCUUCAGCCCUGGCACACAGCCCAGCCUGGUAACUUCAUUAAAGCAUCUCCGCUGCGGUCAGGCCUCUGGGGCUCUGCUUCCAAAAACUUUGGGAAUGGACCAGAGCUGGGGAACCUACCGGUUAUUAAGAAUCUGUCUUCUGGAAGAGUAGCGAAGGGAUUUGGGAGCCUCACAUCACUUUACUGAGUAUAAACUGUGCAGCACUCAGACUGGUGCACAUCACGGGUACUUUUAGUGUCAGGGCUCUCAGGAGGAUGCAUCCCUGACAGCCCAGCUGCUGUAGGAGUCAAGAAAGUCAGACUGCAGAUGGACAAGUGUCUUUUUUCCACCUCUCGUGCAAAUGAAGCAUCCAGGGCCACCUCAUAAAAGUAUCAAUGUCGUUCACGUGCUCCCAGGUGAAUAAAGCUACAUAACACGUCAUCAGCGAAAUACAGCUUCUGGAGGGGAGGGGGAAGGUAAAUAGAUACUCAGAAAGCGUUGGCAUGAGUACUGCCAGACCUUGUUUUAGUUUCUGUGGCUCAGCUCAGGGCUGUCCCCAGCCACAUCCCAGGGUGGGGGGAGAUGCUUUGCAAACCAGGCUGCGUGCGUGGAGUAGUAUGGUCAAAUCGCACAGGGGGCAACGUACAGGAGGUGGGAAUGGCUUUGUGCACCUCCACGUGCUGCUGGUUGGAGCAGCCUUGAGACAGGGUGAGGUUUUGUCAACCACAAACAGUCCUAAAGGGAAGAAACCAGUCCCUGCCUUCCUUGUGGCUGUGCCCAACAAGGGAUCAGUGCUGCAAGCAAAACUCCUGGGUUUCUACUCCUGUAAGUGGAUAAAUCAACCUGGGGUGUUGUGUGUGGUGAGGGGCAGAGCAGCUGGAGCCUACAGGGAACUGGAUUUGGCCGAUUCGGGCAUGGAGGUGACGCUGGGAAAGGCCCAGCCUUCACUCAGCACGUUUCUGCCUUAAUCCUGUUUUGUGCUGUGGCCCAACAGCCCUGCUGCUGCAGACAGCAACCUCCUGCCUCCACGCUCCCUCCAGCAGCGGGGCUUCUCCAUCCUCAUCCUCACUC